rnacentral:rRNA from 1 species
GACGAACGCUGGCGGCGUGCUUAACACAUGCAAGUCGAACGAUGAUGCUGGAGCUUGCUCCAGUUGAUUAGUGGCGAACGGGUGAGUAACACGUGAGCAAUCUGCCCUUGACUCUGGGAUAACUGCGGGAAACUGUAGCUAAUACCGGAUACUUUCACCGGAAGGCAUCUUUUGGUGAUGAAAGAAUUUCGGUCAGGGAUGAGCUCGCGGCCUAUCAGCUUGUUGGUGAAGUAACGGCUCACCAAGGCGACGGCGGGUAACCGGCCUGAGAGGGUGACCGGUCACACUGGGACUGAGACACGGCCCAGACUCCUACGGGAGGCAGCAGUGGGGAAUAUUGCACAAUGGGCGCAAGCCUGAUGCAGCAACGCCGCGUGAGGGAUGAAGGCCUUCGGGUUGUAAACCUCUUUUAGCAGGGAAGAAGCGAAAGUGACGGUACCUGCAGAAAAAGCACCGGCUAACUACGUGCCAGCCGCCGCCGUAA